rnacentral:rRNA from 1 species
UCGCUACGAGGGACGGCGCCAUUUACUGAAAUUACUGGACCGAGGCUGCUCCAGGUUCGCCUGGGUAGUUUUGGAAAUUUACUUUAAGUUGAUGGCGUGGACCACGUAA